AGAGUUUGAUCAUGGCUCAGAACGAACGCUGGCGGCAUGCCUAACACAUGCAAGUCGAACGCUCCGCAAGGGGAGUGGCGCACGGGUGAGUAACGCGUGGGAACCUGCCCAGGGGUGUGGGAUAACCGGUGGAAACGCCGGCUAAUACCGCAUACGUCCUAUGGGAGAAAGAUUCAUCGCCCUUGGAGGGGCCCGCGUCGGAUUAGCUAGUUGGCGGGGUAACGGCCCACCAAGGCGACGAUCCGUAGCUGGUCUGAGAGGAUGAUCAGCCACACUGGGACUGAGACACGGCCCAGACUCCUACGGGAGGCAGCAGUGGGGAGUAUUGGACAAUGGGGGCAACCCUGAUCCAGCAAUGCCGCGUGAGUGAUGAAGGCCUUAGGGUUGUAAAGCUCUUUCGGCGGGGACGAUGAUGACGGUACCCGCAGAAGAAGCCCCGGCUAACUUCGUGCCAGCAGCCGCGGUAAUACGAAGGGGGCAAGCGUUGUUCGGAUUUACUGGGCGUAAAGGGCGCGCAGGCGGCGCGUCAAGUCGGGUGUGAAAGCCCCGGGCUCAACCUGGGAACUGCACUCGAGACUGACGCGCUAGAGUUCGGGAGAGGAUGGCGGAAUUCCCAGUGUAGAGGUGAAAUUCGUAGAUAUUGGGAAGAACACCGGUGGCGAAGGCGGCCAUCUGGACCGAGACUGACGCUGAGGCGCGA
rnacentral:rRNA from 1 species